rnacentral:misc_RNA from 1 species
AACGCACAUUGCGCCCGCUGGUAUUCCAGCGGGCAUGCCUGUUCGAGCGUCAUUUCAACCCUCAAGCUCUGCUUGGUGUUGGGGCGCUGCCGCUCUUCUCGAGAGGCAGGCCCUGAAAUUUAGUGGCGAGCUCGCCAGGACUCCGAGCGUAGUAGUUUUUAACCUCGCUUAGGAAGGACUGGUGGUGCCCUGCCGUAAAACCCCCCAAAAUUUCUGAAAAGUUGACCUCGGAUCAGGUAGGAAUACCCGCUGAACUUAA